UGUUAUUAAGGAAAGAGAGUUCACCUUUCUAUCAAAAUCAUACAUCAUAUGUAUGAUAAUUACACAUGAUUGUGUAUACAGAAACACAUUGCUACUGAGCCUGAAAUUUCCAAAUAUCUAGAUUCGAUUGGCUGCCAAAUACUCAACAGAUUUGUGCUUUUUCAGGGUCCAGAAGAGAGAGAGAUGGCGUCAUUUGACUUGUGUGCCUGAAGGGAAGGUUCAUAAAGUUCUCCUCAUAGCAAACACAGCAGAUUUCCCUGCCCAGCGCCAGUCCCGGGCCGCGGAGGAGAAGCCCAUGGAGCCGGGAGAAGAGCGAAGGCGCCCCCUGCUGGCCAGAUGCCGCAGGCGCGGCCACCCUACUGCUCCCCUCCUCCCCGCCAGCGCGCCCGCCUGGACCCAGCGCUACCCUCCCGUGCCCCCAGCGAGGGGAACGUGUUCCAAGAAACAGAAAACGAAACACAAACAAACAAAGCGCCAAAACCACUCUCACCUCGUUUGCUGCUCAAAGAGAGUUCUGGUGGCUGCUACUGGAAAAUUUUUGAAGAGGAGAUGAAGAGGUGAUAAUAGUAGAUACAUAGGGCAAAACUUGUCACAAAUCUUUGGGACUCAUCUAUCUCCUUUGGAUUAUGCAUGUGAUACAAAAGAAAUAAAAAGAAUAAACUGCAG
rnacentral:lncRNA from 1 species